rnacentral:lncRNA from 1 species
GGAAUAGAGAGAAAAGGGAUAAGGGAAAAUGCAAAAUUAUCUCUAAAAGGGAGAGGAAAAUUUAGCCAUGAACCCUGGGAAAAGAUUCUGGAAUGAGAAAGACUGAAGAGGAGAGGUUUGGGAGUUAACUGACUCUUCACUGUUUUUCCUGUCCCUGAGGUGGAAGGGAGAAUAACAUCAACUCCAUCAGCUACUGUGACUACUUGUGGAGAAACUUGAAGGUUCUUAUGCCUUGGAAGAUAUCUAGGAGGUGAUCUGGUUUUCCCUGCAGUGUUGUGUCAAUUUGACUGAGGAUCCAGGACAAUUCUGAAGGACUAUGGACAAAGAAUGCUAUUGACCUCCAGGGAAAGAACUAAUGGAGUCUGAAUGCAGAUUGAAGUAUUUUUCAUGUUUCUUCUUCUACAACAUGACAAGGAGCAAGUGAAGAGCAAAGACAAGAAAGAGAAAGCCAAGUAGAAACAGGUUAUUAUCUUCAGCUCUUGCUAUAUGACCUCUUUUGAGAACACGCAAUUCUCUCUUCCAUAACUGACUCAAUUUUGAUGAAUAAAUAAUCAUUAAAUAGCA